rnacentral:rRNA from 1 species
UACGUAGGCAGCGAGCGUUGUUCGGAGUUACUGGGCGUAAAGGGUGCGUAGGCGGUUGUUUAAGUUUGGUGUGAAAUCUCCCGGCUCAACUGGGAGGGUGCGCCGAAUACUGAAUGACUUGGAGUGCGGGAGAGGUGAGUGGAAUUCCUGGUGUAGCGGUGAAAUGCGUAGAUAUCAGGAGGAACACCGGUGGUGUAGACGGCUCACUGGACCGUAACUGACGCUGAGACACGAAAGCGUGGGUAGCAAACAGG